rnacentral:rRNA from 1 species
GUGCCAGCAGCCGCGGUAAUACGAAGGGUGCAAGCGUUACUCGGAAUUACUGGGCGUAAAGCGUGCGUAGGUGGUCGUUUAAGUCCGUUGUGGAAGCCCUGGGCUCAACCUGGGAACUGCAGUGGAUACUGGGCGACUAGAGUAUGGUAGAGGGUAGCGGAAUUCCUGGUGUAGCAGUGAAAUGCGUAGAGAUCAGGAGGAACAUCCAUGGCGAAGGCAGCUACCUGGACCAACACUGACACUGAGGCACGAAAGCGUGGGGAGCAAACAGGAUUAGAUACCCUGGUAGUCCACGCCCUAAACGAUGCGAACUGGAUGUUGGGUGCAAUUUGGCACGCAGUAUCGAAGCUAACGCGUUAAGUUCGCCGCCUGGGGAGUACGGUCGCAAGACUGAAACUCAAAGGAAUUGACGGGGGCCCGCACAAGCGGUGGAGUAUGUGGUUUAAUUCGAUGCAACGCGAAGAACCUUACCUGGCCUUGACAUGUC